rnacentral:lncRNA from 1 species
AUUGCUUGUAUUAUAAUAGAAGGUAAACUUACCAAACGAACAGAGGAAGUUUUAAAACAGAGUAUUGUCUUCUAUGCUAUGCACACGUCAAAAUGGUAUGCUAGUUUUCUGAAUCUUAAUCCAGUAACAAUAAAUAGUUCUUGAGCGUCAGUUCUAUAUGUCAGUGGUCAAAUGAUAGUCAAUUCUUUGUUUCACUCAUGCUCAAAAUUGUCAAAAUAAUGCUACUUCUACCCAUAGUACAGACAUUAAGGAUCAUAAAGUUCAUAUAAGACAUUAAGGCUAUCAAUUUUUAGGCAUAUUAUCUAUUUGUUAUGGCUCGGUAGACUUCAAUCUUUAGAAGAUGGAGAGGAACUUGGCUGGUAGUUUUGUGCUUGCACUUCACAUUCAUUUGUUAGUACUCCAUUUGCUAUGCAUCAAGAUUCAAGCAAGUAGGAUUCCCAGUGUAUUUGCAGUUUUUACAUCGUGUAUUGCAUGUGAAUUGUGGUCACUACUGUCAAUCCAUGGAAAUUUAAAUGUAUAGUGAUGGAUGAAACGAAUUGAACCUAUAUCUUACCAUCCAUAUGGCAUAACCGCAUAAGCAAGUUAGUUCUAAAAGGUCAUUGUUAAUUUACCCGCGUCCGUCCCGCAAUUGCCACAACUCAUCUUGCAUAAGUGUUCCUAUAAGUUGGUACAAAGAUUUGACCGUGGAUGAACUUCAUAUGGAUAACACAGUAGUUUGUGCACAACCAUAUUGCAUUUUCUUGCAUAAUCUGAAAACAUCAAAAUUAACUAGAGAAGUGAAUAUAUCUUCUCUAACACGGUCCACAUGUUCCUCUGUCAGUUUGGAUCAUAACAAGUCGAACUAUCAGAAGCACAUAGUCUUCCGACCCCAAUAGGCCAAUACCCAUGGGACAGCCCACAUCGUUUUGGCACCUUACCCGUGGUGUCCACAACGACAAUUUUUGCGGGCUUGGAUGUGGGCACCAUGGGCAUCCACUUGCAGCCUUAGUUGCUAGUGCUUAGUGCAGUGAGAUCAGAGGAUGGUUAUCAAUUUAAUCUAAUUUGUGGCACUAAAUUACAGGUGCUUUUUCCGAUGCUUUUAUGAAUAUAAUAGUCAGGUGCAGCCUAAGUUCAGAUGCUUUUUGACUAGUAUUUUGCAGGUCCUCAUGUGCUUAGUGCUGCAUUUAGAAAUGACUGUGAAUAGAUUAUUCUUCUUGAAAUUCAUUUCUAACAUAGGGAAAGUAUGUAUAACCUCCUGAUGUAUGUGGGUUUUUCACAAUGCUUUUCCCAGGCCAUGCUGCAUUCAUCAUUGAAACUCCUAGUUGUGUAUUAGAUAGUAAUCAUUUUGCCAAAUUUAUUGCCGUCUAGUGCAGCAAAGUCCAGUCUUUUCCACUCCAGAGAAGAAAAAGAAAGAAAACUAGUGCAGUCUUCUCUACAAAAAUGACUUUUGUGUGUCCGUCUGUGGAUGUGUUGCUCCCAAUAAUUGGGCGUCUGGACAUGCCCUGGUUUUGCCAUUGAUCCUUUAUACAAUUAUUAUUUUUACCAUUAUCUCUAUGAAUGCAUGAAUUCACCGUGACUUCUUUUAAUCCUUUGUAGGAAUGACAUACAAGAGGACCUUUGUAGGAAUGACAUACAAGAGGACCAGGGAGGAACCAUGAAGAUGGCAGUUUGCGUCAGCUAGACAUUUUGUGUAAUGGAGCAAUAACAAUGCGUCUUCUAUGUAUCAUUUUGUAAACCUACUAGAUCAUUGAUGCCGCGCGUUGCUGCGCCCGUUCAUUUUGGUAAUAGAAUAAUAGAAAUUUGCCUAAAUAUGUCGAUCCACAAAACAUAUAAGUUAAAUUUAUAUAAACUUACAUACAUUUUGGAUGCGGGUUUUUUUGUUUGAAAAACAAAAAACCCACAUUUACGCAGAGUGAUUAGUAUUAUUACUUCUUUAAAUUAUCAUAUCAGGGGAGUAAGAGAUGCAAACUACCAACAAUUGCAUAAAAG